GUACCCAUUGUUUUCAAGCUUUAAUUCAUCUCUCAAGUCAGCAACUGAAACUUGUAAUGGAUUCUAUAAAUUGGGCUUUUCGGCACACUGAGAGGAACAUUGCUGAGACUGGUCUUAAUCUUUUGUUGGAAAUGAUGAAGAAUUUUCAGAUGUCAGAAUUCUGUAAUCAAUUCUAUAGAACAUAUUAUAUGAACAUCGAGCAAAAGAUCUUUGCCGUCCUAACAGAUACAUUUCACAAGCCGGGUUUCAAGCUCCAUGUUUUGGUGCUACAGCAUUUGUU